GACCUCGAUCAGGUAGGAAUACCCGCUGAACU
rnacentral:rRNA from 1 species